rnacentral:rRNA from 1 species
AUGAUAGAUGCGGACGCUAAUCUUUGGCAAAACUUGAUGACUUCAUGGCCAGAAAUAGCUAAGUUCCAGAAUAAGCCCUUUCCCCUCUACGAUAAGCUUGGUGAUCUGUAUGGUGGGCAUAUAGCAGAAGGUGACUUCAAUUUCACAUCAACUGAGGUUACAAAAGUGAGUGAUGGUGAUCUCGAAGUUGAAAGAGAGAAGACUGCCUUCUCUUUUGACCUGAAUCAAUACGGUGAUGAUUUACACAUGUAUGAUGAUCCAAGAGAUGCCGCCCCAAGUGAUGGUCCAAGUGAUGCUGCCCCAAAUGAUGGUCCCAGAGAUGAUGCCCCAAGUGAUGGUCCAAGAGGUGCUGCCCCAAGUGAUGGUUCAAGAGAUGCUACACAAAGAGGUGGUGUUGCUACAUCAAGCAACAAGCAUGUGAAGGAAUCAAAGAAGGGUAAGAAGCGUGAUGAUCCUAUGGUGGAAGUGAUGGCACAAUAUGUGGAGAUCAAACGAAAGCAAGCGAAGGAGGAGUCUGCUCUAUUGGUCGGGGCAAAAAAUGCGCAAGAAUUCUCCAUCAGCAAGUGCAUUGCUGUUUUGCACAAGAUGGAAAGCAUCCGCCGCGAUGAACGAGCCACUGCCUACAAAGUGUUCAAAAGUGUUGAGAAUCAUGAGAUCUUUCUUAAUUCUGUCGCCGAAGAUGAAGAGAGUGCUGCAGUGUUUCUUCGGAGCGAAAUGGCAGAGUUGACUCAAAGCAUCUAA